GCGGAGGGAGAAGAGGUCGCGGACGGGUGCGCGCACGCCGUUCGAGGAAAGUCCGGGCUCCACAGGGCACGGCGCCGGGUAACGCCCGGGCGUCGCGAGGCGACGGAAAGUGCCACAGAGAGCAGACCGCCGAUGGCAGCUUGCGACCCGCAGGGGUCCAGGCGCACAGGCAAGGGUGAAAGGGUGGGGUAAGGGCCCACCGCGUUUCCUGGAGACAGGGACGGCACGGCAAACCCCGCCGGGAGCAAGGCCAAGCAGGAACGAGCGGCGGCCCGUCGCGUUCGAGUUCCGGGUAGGCCGCACGAGGCCUCGGGAAACCGCAGGUCCCAGAUAGAUGACCUCGCCGCGGGCCUGGCCCGCCGGUGACAGAACCCGGCUUAUCUCCCUCCGCCUCU
rnacentral:RNase_P_RNA from 1 species